rnacentral:lncRNA from 1 species
AGUGAGUGCGCAUGCGCCUCUCAGCUGGGAGACCGUGGGCGGAGGUGAUACAACCUGACUGAUGAUGGCUGACAAAAGAAGAAGAAAGUAGCUGAGAACCAGCAGCUGAAGAAAGCAAGAAAAUAUGAGUGAAGUCACAAAUGUCACCAAGGAAAGGAAGAACAGAAAAAUAACUUGAAUAUUCAAGAUGGGCAGCCUAGUUCAACGACACAUCAAGCCUUGUGAAAAGGUGACUCCGAGGAGUUUACCUUCGGGCAGCUCAUACACCAGCUGACAAUCUGUCCUCACCCCGAGACGGCAAGCCAAGCUCAGGUGUGUUACGGCUCCACCAGAAAAAGAUUAUUUGCCUUCUUUCCCUCGGUGAACAGCUGAAGCCAAAACGCAGCCCCUGGCACUCCAGCUGUACUCCGUCACAAGGCAGGGCCAGGAAGGUUCUAAUUCUUGCUUCCCAGAUCACACACUUUACAACUGAAGAGCGUCUCGGUUUUGCUCUUGAUCCUACUUUAACCUUUGCCAGCUCCUAGUCCUUUACUAAAGCAUUGAAAACUGUAAAAAGCCUCCUCAGUUCAAAUGCCCAUAAGCAGAGCCCCGAUCGAAUGGAAUGACAUCCCAUUAAACCAACUACUAGGCACUGAGAAAGGGAAAAAGAAAGGGGGCUGAGUGAGGGGGUCGAGAGGGAGGGACGUGGGAAUGCUUUUAAGUAACAAUGGGGAAUGAUUUUCAAGAUAUAUUGGGGGGAAUGGGAGAUGCGCAAAAUGGAGCAGUACCUUUUGUGUUUGAAAAGGUAGAAAAGCCUAAUGACUUCCAUACUCAUGUAGAGACCCUGAAGAUGACACUCAGAUCCACUAACAGGAGAACCGGGGUCCAACCGUGUAUCAAACCAGCAAGAUGACAGGCAUGCGAAAGAGGAUUCUCAUGACUGCCUUUCUCAUAUGUCUUAUUUUUGAACUAUAUAAAUAUGUAUAAAUAUAUUACCUAUUCAGAGAAAGGAAAAACAGUAGGAUGCUAAAAGAAUGGAGACAUAGACCAGAAAAUCUGGCCAUGGGCAAUGUAAGUUGAAAGAAUAUAUGUCAAUAAUUCAAAAAACUGAAAUUUUAGUUUUUAAAAUAUUUUUUUAGAUUGAUUUUAUGUUAUGUGAAUGAAUGCUUGCCUGCAUGUGUGCAUGUGCAUCAUGUGCAUGCUUGGUGCCCAAGGAAGUCAGGGGACGGUGGACCCUCUAGAACUGGAUGAUUACAAAUGAUUGUGAACCACCAUGUGGGCACCCAGGUUCUCUGCAAGAUCAACAAGUGCUCUCAACUGCUGAGCCGUAUCUCCAGACCUGGAGCAAAGCUGAGUAGAGCUUCCAGCUCUACCAACCCCUCAAGGGCUGCCUGGCCUGCGCACAUUAUUUGACCACCCAGUGCCUGCUCCACAAGAGUUGGGGGUAGGAUUGAGAAAGUUAGAACAAGGACAAGGAUACCACAAGAAGAUCUACAGAGUCAACUAACCUGGGUGCAUGGGGGAAGCUCUCAGAGACUAAAUGCCAACCAAAGAGCCUGCAGGGGCUGGGCCUAAGCCCCCUACACAUUUGUAGCAGAUGUGCAGCUUGGUCUUCAUGUGGGCUCCCUAACAAUUGCACCAAGGACUGUCUCAGUCUCUGUUCCCUGCCUUUGGAUCCCCUUUCCCUAGAUGGACUGCCUGGUCAGGCCUCAGUGGGAGAAGAUGUCCCAAGAUGGGUUAGCACCCAAGGGGGGCUUCCCCUUCUCCGAGGAGAAGAGGAGAGGAUAAUGGAGGAGGGGGUUGGGGGGGGGAGGGCUGGAAAGGAGAGGGGGCUGCUAACGAGAUAUAAAGUGAAUAAAUAGUUAAUGAAAACAAAUAAUGAAAUACAGUCUAAAAAUAAAUGUACAUUUCAGAUA